UACAGAGACCUCAAGCGUUAUCCGGAUUCAUUGGGCGUAAAGCGCAUGUAGGCGGACAUAUUAGUCAGACGUCAAAUCUCCGAGCUCAACUCGAAAACUGCGUUUGAAACGGUAUGUCUUGAGAGAGUGAGAGAUUGAUGGAACAUAUGGUGUAGCAGUGAAAUGCGUUGAUAUCAUAUGGAACACCAAAGGCGAAGGCAUUCAAUUGGCACUCUUCUGACGCUCAGAUGCGAAAGCGUGGGUAGCGAAUGGG
rnacentral:rRNA from 1 species